rnacentral:rRNA from 1 species
CACGUAGGCGGCGACGUAAGUUGGGUGUGAAAUCCCUCGGCCUAACCGAGGAACUGCGCCCAGUACUGCGUUGCUUGAGGAUCAAAGGGGUGCAUGGAAUUCCCGGUGGAGCGGUGAAAUGCGUUGAUAUCGGGAGGAACUCCGGCGGCGAAAGCGGUGCACUGGUUGAUUUCUGACGCUGAGGUGCGAAAGCCAGGGGAGCAAACGGGAUUAGAUACCCCGGUAGUCCUGGCCGUAAACGAUGGGCGCUAGGUAGGGGGAAACCAAACGUCUCCCUGCUGGAGUGAAUAUAUUAAGUGCCCCGCCUGGGAAGUACGGUCGCAAGGCUGAA